CACGUAGGGCGCAAGCGUUGUCCGGAAUUAUUGGGCGUAAAGAGCUCGUAGGCGGCUUGUUGCGUCGACUGUGAAAACCUGCGGCUCAACCGUGUGGUCUGCAGUCGAUACGGGCAGGCUGGAGUUCGGUAGGGAGUCUGGAAUUCCUGGUGUAGCGGUGAAAUGCGCAGAUAUCAGGAGGAACACCGGUGGCGAAGGCGGGACUCUGGGCCGAUACUGACGCUGAGGAGCGAAAGCGUGGGGAGCAAACAGG
rnacentral:rRNA from 1 species